rnacentral:pre_miRNA from 1 species
GCCUCAGUUGCUUUCCGAGCGUAGCACAGUUUGGAUGCGGGCCCGUGCAUCGUCCACGGUGAUGCCUCGUAAAGCAACUGGACU